rnacentral:rRNA from 1 species
UGGGGAAUAUUGCACAAUGGGCGCAAGCCUGAUGCAGCCAUGCCGCGUGUAUGAAGAAGGCCUUCGGGUUGUAAAGUACUUUCAGCGGGGAGGAAGGGAGUAAAGUUAAUACCUUUGCUCAUUGACGUUACCCGCAGAAGAAGCACCGGCUAACUCCGUGCCAGCAGCCGCGGUAAUACGGAGGGUGCAAGCGUUAAUCGGAAUUACUGGGCGUAAAGCGCACGCAGGCGGUUUGUUAAGUCAGAUGUGAAAUCCCCGGGCUCAACCUGGGAACUGCAUCGGAUACUGGCAAGCUUGAGUCUCGUAGAGGGGGGUAGAAUUCCAGGUGUGGCGGUGAAAUGCGUAGAGAUCUGGAGGAAUACCGGUGGCGAAGGCGGCCCCCUGGACGAAGACUGACGCUCAGGUGCGAAAGCGUGGGGAGCAAACAGG